ensembl:snoRNA SNORD58 Small nucleolar RNA SNORD58
UUGCAAUGAUGACCAUCUUAGGACACCUUUGGAAUAUACCAUGAAAAUAGUUUUCAUACCUGAGCAAC